rnacentral:rRNA from 1 species
AUACGUAGGGGGCAAGCGUUGUCCGGAUUUACUGGGUAUAAAGGGAGCGCAGGCGGAUUCGUAAGUCAGGGGUGAAAUCCUACAGCUUAACUGUAGAACUGCCUUUGAUACUGCGAGUCUUGAGAUCGGAAGAGAGAGACGGAAUUCCAGGUGUAGUGGUGAAAUACGUAGAUAUCUGGAAGAACACCGAUGGCGAAGGCAGUCUCUUGGUCCGUAUCUGACGCUGAGGCUCGAAAGCGUGGGGAGCAAACAGGAUUAGAAACCCCGGUAGUCC